UACGUAGGGGGCAAGCGUUGUCCGGAAUCAUUGGGCGUAAAGAGCGUGUAGGCGGCCAGAAAAGUCCGCUGUGAAAACUCGAGGCUCAACUUCGAGCUGUCGGUGGAAACUUUCUGGCUAGAGUCCGGAAGAGGAGAAUGGAAUUCCAGGUGUAGCGGUGAAAUGCGUAGAUAUCUGGAGGAACACCGGUGGCGAAGGCGGCAUCCUGGACCAACACUGACGCUGAGGAGCGAAAGCCAGGGGAGCAAACGGG
rnacentral:rRNA from 1 species